rnacentral:rRNA from 1 species
CACGUAGGCGGUGAAUCGGGUUGAAAGUGAAAGUCGCCAAAAAGUGGCGGAAUGCUCUCGAAACCAAUUCACUUGAGUGAGACAGAGGAGAGUGGAAUUUCGUGUGUAGGGGUGAAAUCCGUAGAUCUACGAAGGAACGCCAAAAGCGAAGGCAGCUCUCUGGGUCCCUACCGACGCUGGGUGCGAAAGCAUGGGGAGCGAAACA